ACGAGUGGAGUGAAUGGAAGGGGUAAUAGCACCUCUGGAACAAACGGCGCAGAAGGGAGAAUGCCACAGUUCAUUCAUCAUAUUCAUAUGAUUCCAUAUG
rnacentral:snRNA from 1 species